rnacentral:lncRNA from 10 species
GAUGCCCACACCUGCUGGUCUCACCGCUAGGGCCUGGGCAUCACAGGCAGGGGGAAUGGGGAGGGGACGGUAGCGUCAGCCUACACCCACACGCAGAAGCUGACAAUGACUGUUGGGCUUUUCCAAUGAAUACCAGAACACCAUUUCCUGCAGCCUGAAAAGAAGACAGUAUAAUUGUUUGGCAGCAAGAGAAUCCAGGUGCCCUUCCAUGAGAAGCCCAAGCCAUGUGGAGAAGCCACGUCUAGGGACUCCAGUUAACACUCUCAGCUGAGUCCCCAGCUGACAGUCAGCAUCAACUGCCAGCCACCUCUGUCUAAAAGUGGGCUAUCUUGGGCAUCCAGCCCAGUCAAGCCUUCAGAUGAGUCCAGUCCCAGCCACUAUCUCACACAACCACACGAGAGACAUCAAGAACUCCCAGUGGAGUCCAGUCAGCCCAUGGAACUGCAAGAGACAGGAUCUCGCUGCGUUGCUCAGACUGGUCUCGAACUCCUGGGCUUAAGGGAUUCUCCUGCCUCAAUCACAGCCUCCCAAGUAGCUGAGAUUAAAAGUGCUCACCACCGUGCCAGCGAGUUCAGUUUUUGAGGGUGGAGCCAAGACUCUGAGGAGAGGGCUGAACUGUGAACCUAGAAGUACCAUCUCCCCCUGCACACACCUUUGGUCAAGUUGACCCCAAGAAGAAGGACAAGUCCUCUGCACGGCGAUGAGGCCAUACACACAGUCUGUGGCCCGGCUUUGGGAGACUGAUGGGACAAAGGAUGUUUUGCACGAUCCUUGGUCUCUGAGCAAAUAUAUACAUGGGUUAACACAAA